GACGAACGCUGGCGGCGUGCUUAACACAUGCAAGUCGAACGGUGACGAUCAAGCUUGCUUGGUCUGAUCAGUGGCGAACGGGUGAGUAACACGUGAGUAACCUGCCCCAGACUCUGGGAUAACCCCGGGAAACCGGAGCUAAUACCGGAUAUGACCCUCGUACGCAUGUGCAGGGGGUGGAAAGUUUUUUCGGUCUGGGAUGGGCUCGCGGCCUAUCAGCUUGUUGGUGAGGUAGUGGCUCACCAAGGCGACGACGGGUAGCCGGCCUGAGAGGGCGACCGGCCACACUGGGACUGAGACACGGCCCAGACUCCUACGGGAGGCAGCAGUGGGGAAUAUUGCACAAUGGGCGGAAGCCUGAUGCAGCGACGCCGCGUGAGGGAUGACGGCCUUCGGGUUGUAAACCUCUUUCAGCAGGGAAGAAGCGCAAGUGACGGUACCUGCAGAAGAAGCACCGGCUAACUACGUGCCAGCAGCCGCUGUAAGAC
rnacentral:rRNA from 1 species